GAAGAGAGCUUGCUCUCUGAUUCAGCGGCGGACGGGUGAGUAAUGCCUAGGAAUCUGCCUGGUAGUGGGGGACAACGUCUCGAAAGGGACGCUAAUACCGCAUACGUCCUACGGGAGAAAGCAGGGGACCUUCGGGCCUUGCGCUAUCAGAUGAGCCUAGGUCGGAUUAGCUAGUUGGUGAGGUAAUGGCUCACCAAGGCGACGAUCCGUAACUGGUCUGAGAGGAUGAUCAGUCACACUGGAACUGAGACACGGUCCAGACUCCUACGGGAGGCAGCAGUGGGGAAUAUUGGACAAUGGGCGAAAGCCUGAUCCAGCCAUGCCGCGUGUGUGAAGAAGGUCUUCGGAUUGUAAAGCACUUUAAGUUGGGAGGAAGGGCAGUAAGCGAAUACCUUGCUGUUUUGACGUUACCGACAGAAUAAGCACCGGCUAACUCUGUGCCAGCAGCCGCGGUAAUACAGAGGGUGCAAGCGUUAAUCGGAAUUACUGGGCGUAAAGCGCGCGUAGGUGGUUUGUUAAGUUGAAUGUGAAAUCCCCGGGCUCAACCUGGGAACUGCAUCCAAAACUGGCAAGCUAGAGUAGGGCAGAGGGUGGUGGAAUUUCCUGUGUAGCGGUGAAAUGCGUAGAUAUAGGAAGGAACACCAGUGGCGAAGGCGACCACCUGG
rnacentral:rRNA from 1 species